rnacentral:lncRNA from 1 species
CAGGCCCUCGAUCCGUCCCAGCUUUGGCUUAUGAAGAGCUCUGGGUAGAUGGUGGGUCUAGUUCUACCCUCAGGUCUGGGCGGACUGGGGGCUUCUGAAAUUCUCAUUUGCUCUCAUCCCUGUGGGUCUGGGAAGAGAGAUCAGUCUAAGUGCUGAGCAGCUGGGAAGCACUGCCGAAUUUACAUGGUCCUCGUGCCUGAGCAGAAGGGGCUUGAAACCUGCAUUCUCCACCCUCGAUUUCAAAGCACUGGGCUUUGAUCCUAGCUUGUUUGUCAACAGAAGGGUCUGACCCAUUGAGUCCCAGUGAUGCAUCUGCAAGGCGCUCCGCGGGGAAGCUCACAGCUCGAGGAUGGGAAAUGUAAUUGCAUCUGCCACUCAUCUGGUCCGUGCCCAGACUGUCUGCGCGCUUACACAUCUAGCCGGAUCAAGCUGGGCACACACUUGUAUGCUGUGGUGCUUGUCCUCUGACUGAUAUGCCCCUGCCUCCUGUCUGCCUGGAACACUAGCCAUCUUCAAAGAUUCCAUGCUAAUGCUACCGCCUCCCAGGAAACUUCCAGGACAAUCCUGUCCCAGACCCCCUUUUUCUUGUCAUAUAGAAUUCUUACUGCAUGAAUUAUAUUGCCUUUCAAUGAUUUGUUUACAUGUCUGUUUCUCUUUUCCCUUGUAGUCAAGGACUACAUUCACUCAUUUUUAUCUAUUCAUUUCUAUAUCCAUUUUUAUAUCCUCUGUAUCCAG